rnacentral:lncRNA from 1 species
ACCCACGCCAUCACCCUUCUAUCGCCAGCCUGCUGGGUCAAAUACUUUUUUUUUCGAAUAUUUCCUGACGGCUCAGACGCGUGGAUGGAAGGAGUAGGAGGAAGACGAAGGAGUAUCAAUGGAGAAGGAUGAAGAAAAAAUGAGAAAUAAAGGUGGAAUAGGAGAAGAAGCCAAGGUGUAAUAUUUAGGUGACGACAGGCAGAAUGAGGUGGACGUGGCGGAGGCUGUGGGCGGUCAAUUCACGGCGCAGAUAACCUACACUUUGCACCACGCUGACUGCCCGCCCCUGUUCACUAAAGUCGGGCAAGCCUUUAUCUCCGUGUUCUGCCCUGGGUAUAGGAGUAAAUGCUGGCAGUGGCAUACCUAAGCAGCGCAUGUGGGACGGCAUCAAUGAUUGCUGCAGUAACGGAGAGGAUGAGUUUGUGCAGCUGUGUGGCAUUGAGGAGUGUCGGGAGAAGAAUGUAGGGUGUGUGUGAGUCUGUUUACAUCAACACUCGAGAGUCAUACUUCUGCCAGUGCCGGCCAUGCAGGGUACAGACUCGUGUCGGAAAGUUCAAGUGUGAAGACGUUGACGAGUGCGUGGAGUCGCCCAGAUCUUCUCCCUGUGGACCAUCCCCUCAGCAGUGUUCGAUCCGCCCAGCAGCAGCAACGGUCAUGAGAAGGCGGUCAUUGAAGUGUCAAGUCCCCAAGCUGGCACGGUGGUGGGUGUUGUGUUAGGCUCCCUUAGGGUUCUUUCCCUAGCUGUUGGGUGUACAGAUGUUUGUUGGGUUCCUGAAGAUGCGUCGACGUGUUAUCAUCCACGCAAGCUUCCCCAACCCAGCCAGUGUACCACAAGACAACAGGCAUUGAGGAGGACGGGAGGCAGGCAUUGAGAAGGACGGGAGGAGGGAGCGAGCGGCUGCAUGCACUAUUGAACGGGACGGUAUUGUAUGAAUCGGUACUACUAACGCCAAAGAAGUGAGGGAAGUGUUUGGAUCGAGCGUGCAAGACGUACAACAGACACCAGACUGCUACUGCCGGUGUAGCCAAAGGAACAAGAGGAGGCAGAGGAGGAGGAGGAGGAAGAAGAAGAGGAACAAGAGAGUGAUUCUUGGAGACGUACCAAUGAAGUUCUGAAGAGACGGCCAACCCGUCAGGAAGUCAACUGAUCACGCAGGGACGCCAAAGAACGCCUGACUCCCGAUCUUUCUAAGAUUUCUGAUUGGGGCAGAGACAAUCUAGUAGUUUUCAAUGCCUCAAAAACUCAAUUCCUCCAUCUAUCAACUCAACACAACCUUUCAGACAGACGUUGACGGGUGCGUGUAGUCGCCCAGAUCCUCUCCCUGUGGAACCAUCCCCUCAACAGUGUUCGAUCCGCCCAGCAGCAGCAACGGUCAGGAGAAGGCGGUCAUUGAAGUGUCAAGUCCCCAAGCUGGCAUGGUGGUAGGUGUUGUGCUGGGCUCCCUUGGGGUUCUUUGUCUAGCUGUUGGGGUAAGUCAAAUAGUUUUUCACUCCUUUAUGCUCUGGGGUCUUGCUGUGUAUGUCUUUUUGCUGUGUUGUUCUGUGGCUAAGAUCUCGUAAUUAAGAUGUGCAUGUGAUUUCUCCAAAAUUUAAACAGUUCCCAAAUCAUUCUUGACACAUUGAAAAUAUUCCAAUACUGUAUAGUUAUUCGACUCAUACUUCAGAGGAUUUUUAUUUAUCUUUUUUUUUCUCACUUGCAACAUUUUUACUCUAAAGACGUUUGUCAAGUUGUUGAAGAUUCGUCGACGUGUUAUCAUUGUACCACACGGGCUGGGAUUUUCAUUGAAGGAAAAGUCUCUUCCAAGUCAAUUUUACAUAUAUUUCAAAUAUAGUAAAGUACAUUCGAACAAAAAACGAUGAAAGUGACUCGGCACUCUGAACCAACAACAGAGAAACACGAGAGGCACCCUUAACACACUCUCCCACUUGAAUACACCACUUAACUCCACAUAAUGACACCCUCGAUUAUAUUAACACGAAACUCCGCUGCCCUGAUCACAUUACCCACCUGAUCAGAGACCUUCGCUCACCGUGACGCGUCCACACCCCACCAAUGUUCGAGUAGAGAGUGCCACUCCCUUCUUCCGAGAUCGCGUCCUUUCCUGCCCCACACUCAAAUCUACUGCCCCGCGUGCCAAUUCACGCAAUGUUAAAUACCCUGCCUUCCUUAUUCUAUUCCUCCGUAUACAUGUUGUAGUACACUUCAUGCUAACACUAAUAUUUCUACCAUGCUCAACAUUCCAGAAUCCCUACUCAUAAAGUUCCUCCGCUCGUAUUAAUUAUGGGUUUGGUACGGCAGUUUUCUUCCUUAGGCCUACAGAGCCACCCACGCAAACCCGAUCCACCUUGGCUCUCCUUAAUAUACCAUACUUAUCGUUACAUCAUCC